GAUGAAGAACGCAGCGAAAUGCGAUACUUGGUGUGAAUUGCAGAAUCCCGUGAACCAUCGAGUCUUUGAACGCAAGUUGCGCCCGAAGCCAUCAGGUUGAGGGCACGUCUGCCUGGGCGUCACAUAUCGUUGCCCAAUGCCUAUUGCAGUGCAAUAGGAAUUUCUAGGGCGAAUGAUGGCUUCCCGUGAGCGUUGUCGCCUCGCGGUUGGUUGAAAAUCGAGUCCUUGGUAGGGUGUGCCAUGGUAGAUGGUGGUCGAGUUAGAACGAUACCGAUCAUGUGCAUGCUCCCCAAAAUAUGGCCUCUAUGACCCACACGCGUCUUUUGACGCUCAUGACGAGACCUCAGGUCAGGCGGGGCUACCCGCUGAAUUUAAGCAUAUCAAUAAGCGGAGGA
rnacentral:misc_RNA from 1 species